ACAUGUGCUACCACAGAUUGACAUAUAUUUUCUUCUUUUUUAUAUUUUAAUGGCUUUAAUUUAGAUUGGUCAUUUAUAAUCUAUGGUUAAUUAUUAGACAAAGACAACAACAAAAAUAAACAAGGACAGCAAAACCAAAUAAAAUACCUUUAAAAGAUUUAAAUCAAAUAUAACGAUAACGAUUCGAAAUUUCGUGAUCCAGAUAAAUAUCAUCGAUAUUUACUCACAAAAUUUUCCAGAUAAUGCAAAUCUUUUUCGUUUACAACCUAAAGAAGCCAACCGUUUGAUGUCGACGACACUCAAUAUUCAAGAAAAAGUAUUCAAACUAGCUUUAUUAUAUCCUAAUGCUGAAUUUCUAGUUGAAACGCUAACAAGAUAGAGAAUUUAGUAAACAGUUUUCAAAAACAGACUGAUUUAUCAUUACAACAAAUAAAAUGUACCCUUUGUUGUAUCGAAGAUAUGUUUGGAUAGGAUGCUCAAAAAUGGAAUGUUGUAAAGGGAUGAAUAAUACUCUUACUGAUUUAUACAGACAAGAUACGUACAUUUUCUUAUAACACUUAAAAACGUGUCUAGAAUACACUAACAAAACUUAUAUAUUUUAGGUAUAAGUUAGUAGAAGAUAAAGAGAAGAUACAAAGGUGACUUUAACAAAUUUACAGCAAGGAUUGGACAAGAUUUGAGGCCGAAUUCAAAAAAUUUUGUAGCUAGUCCUGGUGUAAGACAAUUUUACUUAGUGCUAAUAUGAUCUAGACAUUAAUAUUUCUUGUUUCUAGAUAAUGCUAGACAUUAAUAUUUCUUGUUUCGAGACUACGAUAUAACAAAUUGUUGUAACAUGGUUCAGAAAAGUUGGAAGAAAUUGAAUUUAAUACUGAACGAGUCAAAGCUAAGCUAAGUGAGGUAGAGUAUUGGAAAAAAUUUUGUUCACAUUUGUAUAAGUUAAAAGAAAUAAAACCGUGGUUCUGCAGAGAUGGUGGCUCAAUGUUUUGAUAUAUUCGAUAUGUGAAUGAUCGCAGGGAAGCUGUCAGGACUUCCAAUCUAUCGCUCACAUUUGCUGAUAUUACUAAGAAUUUAGCUAGCGAAUACUUGGAUGCAGUUGAACAAGAUAGAGAGAGGUAAAAAGUACCAUAUUUUGAUAUUUUUAUCUAAUUUUUAUGUCUGAAUCAACGUAUACAAAAGAAUACGAAGCAAAUAAACAGACUGAGGCAUACAAACAAUUUACCCGACUCCAGAGUGAGAAGAAACUCAAAGAUAACAACGAAAAAGAGAAAGAAGAUAUUUAAACAAUAGUUUAAAAAGUAAAUUCAUCUCAAUCCCCUGUAACUAAAGACAUCCAGUAAAUGGACUUUGGCAACUUUGAUAUUCCCAUUUUUACUGAAGAAUUUCUUGAUCACAAUAAAAGAAGAGAUGCAGAAUUAAGCUCAGAAAAAUCAAUACAGAUUACGAGCAACAGAACGCCCUUCUCACUAAACACAUUGAAAACAUGAAAACGGCCAUAACUAAGCUGGAAACGGAGAUUUCACAACAGGAAAUAAUAUUUUUGAUAUAAGUCCUGAUGCAUUGUUCAUAAAUAUUCAUCGAAAGUAUAAAAUGUACUGCCCUGGAACUGUAUACAUCCAUCGAUUUGUUGUAGAAAAUAAACAAUAACAAAGAAAUAAAUAAUUAUUGUUUUAUUAAUUAUGCUAAAAUAAUUGUUUUUUUUGUGUUU
rnacentral:lncRNA from 1 species